rnacentral:rRNA from 1 species
UACGAAGGGGGCUAGCGUUGCUCGGAAUGACUGGGCGUAAAGGGCGCGUAGGCGGUUCACGCAGUCAGAUGUAAAAUUCCUGGGCUCAACCUGGGGGCUGCAUUUGAUACGCGUGGACUGGAGUGGGGAAGAGGGACACGGAAUUCCGGGUGGAGUGGUGAAAUGCGUAGAGAUCCGGAGGAACACCAAAGGCGAAGGCAGUGUCCUGGGGAGUACCUGACGCUCAGGUGCGAAAGCCAGGGGAGCGAACGGG